rnacentral:rRNA from 1 species
GACGAACGCUGGCGGCGUGCUUAACACAUGCAAGUCGAACAGUGGCGAACGGGUGAGUCACACGUGAGUAAUCUGCCCCCCACUUUGGGAUAACUCCGAGAAAUCGGGGCUAAUACUGGAUUGUGGGGGAUGGGCUCGCGGCCUAUCAGUUUGUUGGUGGGGUAGUGGUCACCAAGGCGUGACGGGUAGCCGGCCUGAGAGGGCGACCGGCCACACUGGGACUGAGACACGGCCCAGACUCCUACGGGAGGCAGCAGUGGGGAAUAGUGCACAAUGGGGGAAAGCCUGAUGCAGCGACGCCGCGGGGGGGAUGACGGCCUUCGGGUUGUAAACCUCUUUCAGCAAGGAAGCGGUACUUGCAGAAGAAGCGCCGGCUAACUACGUGCCAGCCGCCGCGGUAAUAC